CCUACGGGAGGCAGCAGUGGGGAAUUUUGGACAAUGGGCGCAAGCCUGAUCCAGCAAUGCCGCGUGAGUGAAGAAGGCCUUCGGGUUGUAAAGCUCUUUUGUCAGGGAAGAAACGGUGAGGGCUAAUAUCCUUUGCUAAUGACGGUACCUGAAGAAUAAGCACCGGCUAACUACGUGCCAGCAGCCGCGGUAAUACGUAGGGUGCAAGCGUUAAUCGGAAUUACUGGGCGUAAAGCGUGCGCAGGCGGUUUUGUAAGUCUGAUGUGAAAUCCCCGGGCUCAACCUGGGAAUUGCAUUGGAGACUGCAAGGCUAGAAUCUGGCAGAGGGGGGUAGAAUUCCACGUGUAGCAGUGAAAUGCGUAGAUAUGUGGAGGAACACCGAUGGCGAAGGCAGCCCCCUGGGUCAAGAUUGACGCUCAUGCACGAAAGCGUGGGGAGCAAACAGGAUUAGAUACCCUGGUAGUCCACGCCCUAAACGAUGUCUACUAGUUGUCGGGUCUUAAUUGACUUGGUAACGCAGCUAACGCGUGAAGUAGACCGCCUGGGGGNGGUACGGUCGCGAGAAGUAAACGUACGAAGUAGUAGUUAGUACGGACGUAGAGACGUUGCCGACGGACGACGACGAGGGAGGAGGG
rnacentral:rRNA from 1 species